ACUAUUUGAACCUUUCCUGUAAAAAAGAAAACAUCUUGCAAAACAACUAGAUCAGUCCAAAAUGCAUAUUUAACUUAUUGAACUUACCGUGCGAUUUUACCUUCCUUGAUGCCUCUCCUUUGCUCAAAUUGAUCCUUGGUAAAUCUGGUCGAAGUGAUAGAUCUUACCGUGCUCAAUUUUUGACGACUUCUGACCGAAGCGACAGAAGUGUCGGGAGAGCUUGUGAUACUCCUC
rnacentral:lncRNA from 1 species